rnacentral:lncRNA from 1 species
UAUUUGGUCCAAACUUGAAUAAGUUUGCCCACUGUCUAAUAUUCGUUCCAAGAGUAGAAGUCUUAGCCUAAGAGAAAUCUACUCUUUCAAGCUGAUUAGUUGACUAUCGUGUUGAUUUUCCAGUUGUUGGAUAACCAUCAAACACUUGGUGGGCACCCUGCUCUACAAUUGCACCGUUACCUUUGUCCCGACUUAGUGGAUUGUCACAAGCCUUAGCUGCUACAUCUGCAUCAGAUGCCAUAGCAGGCAAGGUAUUCAGUGUCAAAGAUAUCUGUUUUGAUGUAGUUCCCUGAUGGUGUUGGUUAUCCUCAUCCGCCAAGACAACCCAGUAGAUCUUUCAAAGUCAUGGUGAAACUCUCUGUCCCCUCUGUAUGCUUGCCUUCGUGCACCUCUAGCCCCAAAGCUUGCUCUAGCACUACGGAGAUUUAGGCCUCCUCAGUUGUAUUGUAUGUCAGCUGGCAUUCACCUCUCUUGGACUUGUGUAACUGCUUCCUCAAUUGUUUAACCUUAUUCUUAAGUGUCUCAAUGUCAGCAUCUUUAUCCAAUUGUGGAGAUUCAAUAUUCUUGCCCCC